rnacentral:rRNA from 1 species
GACAGAGGGUGCAAAUGUUGUUCGGAAUCACUGGGCGUAAAGGGAGCGUAGGCGGGUUUCUAAGUCAGGUGUUUAAUCCCGGGGCCCAACCCCGGACAGGCACUUGAAACUGGGAAUCUUGAAUAGUGGAGAGGUCAGUGGAAUUGGGGGUGUAGCGGUGGAAUGCGUAGAGAUCCCCAAGAACACCAGUUGCGAAGGCGGCUGACUGGACACAUAUUGACGCUGAGGCUCGAAAGCAUGGGGAGCAAACAGG